rnacentral:rRNA from 67 species
AAAUUGAAGAGUUUGAUCAUGGCUCAGAUUGAACGCUGGCGGCAGGCCUAACACAUGCAAGUCGAACGGUAACAGGAAGCAGCUUGCUGCUUCGCUGACGAGUGGCGGACGGGUGAGUAAUGUCUGGGAAACUGCCUGAUGGAGGGGGAUAACUACUGGAAACGGUGGCUAAUACCGCAUAACGUCGCAAGACCAAAGAGGGGGACCUUCGGGCCUCUUG